GGAAAACAAUAUUCAUAUAAAAUAGGAUGGAUUACAAAACAAAUACCAAAACCAAACCACAUUCUGGAGCCAGUGAUUCUUUUAUUUUGAAGAAAACAUGAAGCAACUAGUCGCGAGAUAAGUUAAUUAAAAUUUCCGAAUUUUUCACAUAGAAGCCACUGAAGUGGGAUUAACCCUGCUACAAACAUCACGAAUUUCCAAUUGAGCGCCGGCGGAGGGGGGCAAGUCUCCCAUCUUGAUCAUGGCAGCAGCAAAAUCUCCAAGGAAAACGUUCACAUCGUUGCUAUAAUCCGUUACAAAACCAGCAGUUGUAGCAUCCCCGGUCAAAACUUGAUCUGAAAACAUUAUGCCUUGGUUGCUGUUUAAGUUAUCGUAGUAAACUUUGUCGAACAUAGUAGGAGUAGUAUCCAAUUGUUGCAAAUCAGAAUCAGUUAGCGUGGCGGAGCAGUUGCAUUGGAGUUGUGCGGCAGGAUUAACGUUACCGCUGGUGCAAACUGUGGAACACCUGGCGAAACCUACCGUGUGUGCACCAGCUAGUGCAACCAUUUCACGGAGGGUGAAAUUUUUGUCGCUGAAUUUCUGUAUUUGGACUGUUAGGUUGUCGAAUGGAGCUGGAAGUUGAUUUAUAGCACCACUAAAGUUGGCAGUUCUAGCAUCGCUUCUCCCUAAUGCAACGCUAUAAGUUUGUCCUCCUAAUUUAGCAACAGAAUCACGAGCAGCAAUAGCUAAUAUGUCGGCACAAGAUACAGAUACGUUGGGGCAUGUGUUUAUGACACUUUGUUUAGCUUGUGCUAUUACUUCAUAACCUCUGGCUGAGUUGGCGUUGGGUGGUGAGUUUUGUUCCCCUGUAAAUGUUCCAUUAAUAUCAUCUAGCAGAAUACCUCCAUCACAACCAUCAACGAAGCAGUCAUGAAAGUGGAGACGAAUGAGAGAAGCUCCCAUGCGAGUUUCUGCAUCAAUAGCACUGUCCACAACUGCUCGUACAGCUGAGAAAACGCAUGCCUCCGGAGUUAGUUGCUGUCUCAAGUACUUGUCUGAAUUUCUCUUCUUAUUAUUAUUUAAGGUUAAAAUACUGGCUACGCCUGAUUCCAACGAAUCGAAAUCUGGAGAAACAUUUUUGAGGAGUGAACCGUUUUUCAUGAUGAUGGCUUCAUAAGUAUUUCUAUAAAUAGCAACACCUGCAAGUGCAAGUGCCACAAAACUCAAUGCAAGACUCAAAUGACUCAAACGAAAACCCAUCACUUAAUUUAAAUGUCUAUCGAGGAAACAAAUUAAAGGCUUUC
rnacentral:misc_RNA from 1 species